CAGCCGCCGCGGGAAAACGAAGGGGGCUAGCGUUGCUCGGAAUUACUGGGCGUAAAGGGAGCGUAGGCGGAUGAAUUAGUCAGGGGUGAAAUCCCGGGGCUCAACCUCGGAACUGCCUUUGAUACUGUUCAUCUUGAGUAUGGGAGAGGUGUGUGGAACUCCGAGUGUAGAGGUGAAAUUCGUAGAUAUUCGGAAGAACACCAGUGGCGAAGGCGACACACUGGCCCAUUACUGACGCUGAGGCUCGAAAGCGUGGGGAGCAAGCAGGAUUAGAUACCCGUGUAGUCCCUGUCUCUUAUAC
rnacentral:rRNA from 1 species